UUGAACGCUGCGGCAGGCCUAACACAUGCAAGUCGAGCGGAUGAAGGGAGCUUGCUCCUGGAUUCAGCGGCGGACGGGUGAGUAAUGCCUAGGAAUCUGCCUGGUAGUGGGGGAUAACGUCCGGAAACGGGCGCUAAUACCGCAUACGUCCUGAGGGAGAAAGUGGGGGAUCUUCGGACCUCACGCUAUCAGAUGAGCCUAGGUCGGAUUAGCUAGUUGGUGGGGUAAAGGCCUACCAAGGCGACGAUCCGUAACUGGUCUGAGAGGAUGAUCAGUCACACUGGAACUGAGACACGGUCCAGACUCCUACGGGAGGCAGCAGUGGGGAAUAUUGGACAAUGGGCGAAAGCCUGAUCCAGCCAUGCCGCGUGUGUGAAGAAGGUCUUCGGAUUGUAAAGCACUUUAAGUUGGGAGGAAGGGCAGUAAGUUAAUACCUUGCUGUUUUGACGUUACCAACAGAAUAAGCACCGGCUAACUUCGUG
rnacentral:rRNA from 1 species